AAACUUACUUGGCGGAAAGCGGCAUUGAUCAUCUAGAAUGCUUCUCCGGGUUGAGGCUUGCGCAUUGUACGUCGCGUUAGCUAAUUCCUGAUGUCAACCCAAACUGGGCUGAGCAUUCCGUGCAAUUUUUGAGUGUGGGGAUUUGCGUUCGCGCUUUCCCUGU
rnacentral:snRNA from 1 species